rnacentral:rRNA from 1 species
UACGUAGGGUGCAGGCGUUAAUCGGAAUUACUGGGCGUAAAGCGUGCGCAGGCGGUCUGCUAAGAGAGAUGUGAAAUCCCCCGGGCUUAACCUGGGAACUGCGUUUGAAACUACAAGGCUAGAGUGUGGCAGAGGGGGGUGGAAUUCCACGUGUAGCGGUGAAAUGCGUAGAUAUCCGGAGGAACACCGGUGGCGAAGGCGGCUUCCUGGACCGACACUGACGCUGAGGCGCGAAAGCCAGGGGAGCAAACGGG